GUGCUUGCUUUGGCAGCACAUAUACUAAAAUUGGAAUGAUACGGAGAAGAUUAGCGUGGCCCCUGCACAAAGAUGACAUGCAAAUUCAUGAAGGAUUCCAUAUUUUU
ensembl:snRNA U6 U6 spliceosomal RNA